rnacentral:rRNA from 1 species
UGGGGAAUCUUGCGCAAUGGGCGAAAGCCUGACGCAGCGACGCUGUGUGGGUGAUGAAGGCCUUCGGGUCGUAAAGCCCUGUCAGGGGGGACGAAAUCUCGGCGACUUAAUACGUCGUCGACUUGACGGUACCUCCAAAGGAAGCACCGGCUAACUCCGUGCCAGCAGCCGCGGUAAUACGUAGGGUGCGAGCGUUAAUCGGAAUUACUGGGCGUAAAGCGUGCGCAGGCGGUCGCGCAAGUCAGGUGUGAAAGCCCCGGGCUUAACUUGGGAAUUGCAUUUGAAACUACGUGACUGGAGUGUGGCAGAGGGAGGUGGAAUUCCACGUGUAGCGGUGAAAUGCGUAGAGAUGUGGAGGAACACCGAUGGCGAAGGCAGCCUCCUGGGCCAACACUGACGCUCAUGCACGAAAGCGUGGGGAGCAA